rnacentral:piRNA from 1 species
UACUUAAUGAUAAGAGUUUAACGAUGUAG